GAUGAACGCUGGCGGCGUGCCUAAUACAUGCAAGUCGAGCGAACGGACGAGAAGCUUGCUUCUCUGAUGUUAGCGGCGGACGGGUGAGUAACACGUGUAUAACCUACCUAUAAGACUGGGAUAACUUCGGGAAACCGUAGCUAAUACCGGAUAAUAUUUUGAACCGCAUGGUUCAAAAGUGAAAGACGGUCUUGCUGUCACUUAUAGAUGGAUCCGCGCUGCAUUAGCUAGUUGGGAAGGUAACGGCUUACCAAGGCAACGAGGCAUAGCCGACCGGAGAGGGGGAUAGGCCACACUGGAACUGAGACACGGUCCAGACUCCUACGGGAGGCAGCAGUAUGGAAUCUUACGCAAUGGGCGAAAGCCUGACGGAGCAACGCCGCGUGAGUGAUGAAGGUCUUCGGAUCGUAAAACUCUGUUAUUAGGGAAGAACAUAUGUGUAAGUAACUGUGCACAUCUUGACGGUACCUAAUCAGAAAGCAACGGCUAACUACGUG
rnacentral:rRNA from 1 species